rnacentral:tmRNA from 1 species
GGGGGCGACCGGCUUCGACGGGGAUCAGGAGGUGCAGGGGCGCGUGCCGAGGUCCAGAGUCCUCGAAAAAAAUCUGGGCAAAACACAACUGCCGACCACGAGUUGGCACUUGCGGCUUAACUAGCCGCACGCGCUGUCUUCCGCCGCCCGCGCGGGGGACAGGGCGUCAGAGCUGCGGGCUGGGUUUCCCGGUGUCUGGAGACGGGGGGCCGAGACCAACUUCCAGAUAGUCUUCUUUCCCGCGCGUCAGCGGGGUGGGGAGGAAGGCGAACAUACCCAAACCCGCGGACUACGCACGUAGGGGCCCUGUGCUGAGGAUCUUCGGACGCGGGUUCGAUUCCCGCCGCCUCCACCA